AUUGAACGCUGGCGGCAGGCCUAACACAUGCAAGUCGAGCGAGCGGCGGGCGGGUGAGUAGUGCCUGGGAAUUGCCCAGUCGAGGGGAAUCACAGUUGGCAACGACUGCUAAUACCGCAUACGAUUUGAUUUCCCAGGGGGGAUUAGCUAGUUGGUGAGGGAAUGGCUCACCAAGGCGACGCGCCCUAGCUGGUCUGAGAGGAUGAUCAGCCACACUGGAACUGAGACACGGUCCAGACUCCUACGGGAGGCAGCAGUGGGGAAUAGUGGACAAUGGGGGAAAGCCUGAUGCAGCCAUGCCGCGUGUGUGAAGAAGGCCUUCGGGUUGUAAAGCACGUUCAGCGAGGAGGCGUUACUCGCAGAAGAAGCACCGGCUAACUCCGUGCCAGCAGCCGCGGUAAUUC
rnacentral:rRNA from 1 species